rnacentral:piRNA from 1 species
UCAGAAGUUGUGAUGUGCUCAGUGACCGGC